rnacentral:rRNA from 1 species
GCAAGCCCAGCACUGAAUCCCGAGGGCUAACGCCUUCAGGGAAAUGUGGUGUUUUGGAGGACUCGUUUAGCCCGGGAAUUUAGUGUCGCGUCCAAGUCCAUCUUGAACGAGGCCGCUUUCCCGAGAGGGUGCCAGGCCCGUAGUUGGCCGAUACGGUUCCCGGGCGAGUCUCUCCUCAGAGUCAGGUUGCUUGAGAGUGCAGCCCUAAGUGGGUGGUAAACUCCAUCUAAGGCUAAAUACAACUACGAGACCGAUAGCGAACAAGUACCGUGAGGGAAAGUUGAAAAGAACUUUGAAGAGAGAGUUCAAGAGUACGUGAAACCGUUCGGGGGUAAACGGAAAAGUCCCGAAAUAUCCGAAACGGGAGAUUCAAGUCUUCUCGUUCUUCUCCUGCGCACCACGUCGAUAGCCCUUCGCCCCAUCGGGUGCAAACUCGGUGGUGGGUCGGUUGCCACUGGUGUGUCAGUGAGAAGGCGGUAGACCGCACUUCUCCCGUAGUAGGACGUCGCGACCCGCUAAGGUCGGGGGUCUAAGGCAUCCGUUCUUGCGACUGUAGCUCCACUUCGGUGGUGUCUACAGCAGAGUGGAACCGUCUUCUCUCCCACCGUGCGGUAUCAAGACAGGUGUGAGGCCUCUUCCGAGAGCCGAUAGGGGAUCAAGGCGCGUGUUACCGUCGAUUUGGACUCCGGUCCGUUCGGCGGGUGCAUAGCUUGUUGGUUCCUCGAACUCGAGCCGGUCUGACACCAGUCGGCGACGAUGAAGUUUCGGGUACUUGUCCGACCCGUCUUGAAACACGGACCAAGGAGUUUAGCUCGUACGCGAGUCAAUGGGUCGUAAAGCCCAAAGGCGAAAUGAAAGUGAAGGUUGGCCACAGCCUUCCUAGGGAAGACAGGCGUAAGGAUCUCACGGUCCCCGUCUCGCAUUCCCGGGGCGUCCGUUUCUCCGUUGGAGUAGGGCGCACCUAGAGCGUACGGGCUGAUACCCGAAAGAUGGUGAACUAUGCGUGGCCAGGACGAAGCCAGGGGAAACCCUGGUGGAGGUCCGCAGCGAUUCUGACGUGCAAAUCGAUCGUCGGAGCUGCGUAUAGGGGCGAAAGACCAAUCGAACCAUCUAGUAGCUGGUUCCCUCUGAAGUUUCCCUCAGGAUAGCUUGCGCUCGUGAUACGAGUUUCAUCCGGUAGAGCGAAUGAUUAGAGGCCUUGGGGUCGAAACGACCUCAACCUAUUCUCAAACUCCAAAUAGAUGAGAACCGCGGCUUGCUUGAAAGUGAAGCCGUCGGGUAUCGAAUCUGAGUGCAAAGUGGGCCAUUUUUGGUAAGCAGAACUGGUGCUGUGGGAUGAACCAAACGGGGUGUUAAGGCGCCCGAAUCGACGCUCAUGUGAAACCAUGAAAGGCGUUGGUUGCUUAAGACAGCAGGACGGUGGCCAUGGAAGUCGGAAUCCGCUAAGGAGUGUGUAACAACUCACCUGCCGAAGCAACUAGCCCUGAAAAUGGAUGGCGCUGUAGCGUCGUGCCUAUACACCCCCGUCAGCGGCAAACGUGGUGAGCCGUUUAUUCGGUGAAGCCGUUACGCUCUGACGAGUAAGAGGGUCGCAACGAUGUGCGCAGAAGGGUUUGGGCGCGAGCCCGCCUGGAGCCGUCGUUGGUGCAGAUCUUGGUGGUAGUAGCAAAUACUCCAGCGAGGCCCUGGAGGGCUGAUGUGGAGAAGGGUUUCUUGUGAACAGCUGUUGCACAAGAGUCAGUCGAUCCUAAGCCCUAGGAGAAAUCCGAAAAGAUCGGUUGCCGUUAAGCGAAAGGUUUGAGGGCACCGUUCGGGCGAAAGGGAAUCCGGUUCCUAUUCCGGAACCCGGCAGCGGAACUGAUCCAAAUCGGGCUCUCGUAGAGAACUCGUCGGGGCAACCCAAAAGGACCUGGAGACGCCGUCGGGAGAUUCGGGGAGAGUUGUCUCUUCUCUAUAAGCAUUCGAGUUCCCUGGAAACCUCCAGCAGGGAGAUAGGGUUUGGAAUGCGAAGAGCACCGCAGUUACGGCGGUGUCCGGAUCUUCCCCACGGACCUUGAAAAUCCAGGUGAGGGCCACGAGGAUUAACCGCGCCGGCUCGUACCCAUAUCCGCAGCAGGUCUCCAAGGUGAAUAGCCUCUAGUCGAUAGAAUAAUGUAGGUAAGGGAAGUCGGCAAAUUCGAUCCGUAACUUCGGGAUAAGGAUUGGCUCUGAGGAUCGUGGCGAGUUGGGCUUGGUCGGGAAGUGGUGCCGUGUCAACGUGCCGGGCCUGGGCGAGGUGAUGGACUCCGGUCCGGAUCCAAGCUCGGUCCCGUGCCUUGACCACCCACGGAUCUUCCUAGCUGCGAGGUUAUGGUUGUCUGGAUGCCUUCUCACGGGGGUAAUCGGGCCUUGACUCUCUUCAACCGCCAUUUGACGAUCAACUCAGAACUGGCACGGACAAGGGGAAUCCGACUGUUUAAUUAAAACAGAGCAUUGCGAUGGCCCCAGCGGGUGUUGACGC